AUUUCUGAGGAUGAGAACUCAUGUCUGAAAGAUGUAUGUGAAGACAUCGAUACCACACCAUACCACACCACAGCACAACAUACCACACCAAUGGCCAGAACCUUUUUUGUCGUACGUUUCCAUUUCCUACUAUGAAACUAGAAGGUUUGGUGUGUGUAUUCCAGUUCCUGAAAGAUCAAUACAAUCAUCACCCUUGGAACCCAGCCUCAUUUCAACAACUGGAAACCUGCCCAAUGAGAAUUCGCAAAACCUGUUAAAUUGUAGGUUUUCUCCUUCUUCAUGAGUCUUGUGUUUGUGCUGUGAAUUUUGUUUCUUUUUUUGUUUGUUUGUCUUUCUACUGAACUUUUUAAGUUUGAAUUUGACCCAUUUGGUUUUAUGGCUGUCAGUGUAUAUGUGCACAGAAAUUGUGCAAACUGGAAAUUUUGGCACUUUGUGCUUGUGACAUGUUCAUUUUUUAAAGCUUUCUGAAAAAUCUUUCACCCUACAGGCAAAAAAAAAAAGGGUGAGAUAUAUGCUUUUUAAAAAUGCCUUUCUAUGCAUUUUGCAAUCAUUUGUGUACAUUGUUUAUUUAGUUACUGUUUGUUUAUUUAGUUCCUUUCUGGUCACUUUAAACUUGGAAGUCAGGAAGCCACAUGCCCUGCAGACCCUUAUUCAGAUAUAGCACAAAUGUGUGGCUUUCCUCCAAUCUUCCAGUUUAGAUGUUUUCAGUAAAAUAUCCCUUCCUAAAGUUAAGCCAGAACUCUGCAUACAGCAUGGCACCUGGGUGCAAAGAUUGCCUUUUUAUGAUAAUACAAAUGUACCCACAUCCCCACAAGGGAACUUUAAGGAUCCACCCCUUAAGCCCCUCCCUCCUCUGUUGUAAAUGGCAUUUUCUUCUCACCAUCUUAACUUUGUUCUCCCAGCCAUGUCCGUCCGUGAAAACUCAGGUUCCAGGCCGGGAACUUCUAUGAAAGUUUGUACAGAGCUGUAUUUUUGGUGAGCUUUCUCAGUGCUUUCCAAUAUGCAAACUAACUGGGUUAUGUACCUCAAACAAACAAACACAUACAGGAGAUAGAAUGCAGGAUUAUAAUCAAGUCCUGUCAGUAGAUGUUUGCUAUUAAGUAGGAAAUAACAUGAAAUUAGCAUAGGAAAUAUUGCCUUAAUUCUAAACACACAUGGGGAGAUCACACAUGCGCACAUGCACCCUCUGUGUGCUCCUAAAGCACCUUGCAAUCUGACUCCAAUCCUAAAAAUCAAAUAAAAAACCCUUAAUCAGGCUGUAAAUCAAAUGACACUAUGCGAUGUCACUACAGUGACAUCAGACAUCAUAUAGGAAUCAUAAUUUUCUAUUUUAAGAUUUUUAAUUCUGUGUGUACAUGUGACUGCAGUACACACAGCCAACAAGUGCACCAGAGACCCUACAGCUGGACUUAUAGGCAGUUCUAUGCCGCCCUGCGGAUGCUGAGAACCAACCCAACCUCGAUCCUCUGCAGUCCAUGUAGUUAACAUGCAAGAAGGGGUGGUAAGGCAAAAGCAGCCAUGAAAAAGGGUGAGGGAAAUAUGUCCUGUUCUUAACUCUGAGUCCAGGGAGAGUUGUGCACCCAACACCUUCUCAUGAAACAAUGGAAUAGUUAAUAAAUUUCAAAUUUCUCUGGUGGUAGCUUGAUUCGAACCAAAGUAUAAAAGAUAAUCACUAGCAAAUAAAAAUUUAAAAACAAAUUUCUGGGCUGGAGAGAUGGCUCAGCGGUUAAGAGCAGUGACUGCUCUUCCGGAGGUCCUGAGUUCAAAUCCCAGCAUCAACCUGGUGGCUCACAACUAUCUGUAAUGGGAUCCGAUGCCCUUUUCUGAUGUGUCUAAAGACAGCUACAAUGUACUUACAUAUAAUAAAUAAAUAAAUCUUAAAAAG
rnacentral:lncRNA from 1 species